GCCAAUCGAAUUUAAUGCUAGUUUUUGACUGAAGUUUUAUUCCAUAAUGGAAGUAGGUAAGCAUCGUUAAGUUAAUCAAAUAUAAUCAAUAAGAAGACGUAGAGACGAAAAGUGAUUUGCAUCAGCAAAAGUUAAUACUGUGAAAAAAUUUGAGGAGAGUUGUUACUGAGUUUAUCGAAAUACACAAAACAUCUCCAAAGAAUAAAAGAAGAAACAGCAGCAGCAGCAGCAACAACAGCAGCAACAACAGCAGCAGCAUCACAAUCUCCGGGAUCACUACCACCAGCGCCACCUGCAGCAAUAACAGCAACACCAUGCCAGUCCACCACAACCUCUAACCAUCAACAACUCCAACACCAAUUCUAGCAGCAGCACCACCACAACCUCUACUACCAUCACAACUUUCACCGUAACCAGCAGCAGCAACGCCACCACCACUACCACCACCACCACCGAUUAGAAUUAUCAUCGCAACACUGUCACCGACAACGCCACCACCCCACCACCACCAUUGCUGUCACUACCAUUCUACCAUUGCCACCGAAUCAAUGACGACCUGACCAUCCCCCACUAUUAUGCACCGUCGCCCCCUUACCCUUCCACGGGCACCGAUGCCAUCACUAUGGCGGCGGAAGCAGCGACGACAACCGCCAACCCACCCCCACCACCAAUGUCAUACCAAGCCUGCCAUCACCACCGACGCCACCAGCAUCAAAACCAUCAUGAUCAUAACGAUCAUUAUCCAAAUCAUCAUAACCCCUCCCCCCCAUCAUCAUAAAGAUCAUCAUAAUCCUCAUCAAAAUAAUGAUGAUGAUGAUCAUCAUCAUCAACAUCAUGAACAACAACGACCCGGAGCCAGCAUGACACCAUGCAGUCGGUCAUGGGAUGAUCGGGGUUUCAGGGAUGCGUAGAUGGCUCGUCAGACUAAAUCCGUUCGCGGAGCGUGUCUUUGGCAGGGCCAACGAGAAAAUGCUGGCGGCACUGCGAGAUCUGAAGCUAUUUUCCUUUCUUGUCUGCCAGUCACUUUGUUGGACUCACAUAUCCUGGAUCCCGUACAGACUGCUACGCACCAUUCUCCUCUAUCCAACGUUGUGCUUUCACCAUUCUUUACGGAUGAUGUUGAAGAACUCUUCUGAAGCUUUCUAUGUACAUUUCUAACACCUCUCUCGUCUCCUCGAGAGGUUUAAUGUGCUGAAGUUCGUUGUAAGAACGAUUUCUUCGGAAACCGGUGGUCUGGUAUCCAAACCACGUGAAAUGGUCAAUACAGGUAUGACUGCAUUAGGAUCGUGCAGACGUUUUGGGAGUUCAGCAUUAGAGAGUUCUUCUGUGUCAGAAGUCCUGUUUUGUAACUUGGUGCCAAAAAUUUAUCUGAGGCUGAUGCUAUGGGCAGAGCUUAGUUUCUUUCAAUGCCGUUAGUUAGUAGACAAUCCAGAUUCCGCAACCAUAAAGCAGACGGGACAAAAUCGCCCUGAGGACAAAUCCCGCCAGACUAAUUUUAAACAAAAAUAUCAACUCUUUUACUUGUUUCAGUCAUUUGACUGCGGCCAUGCUGGAGCACCGGCUUUAGUCGAAGAAAUGGAACCCAGGAUUUAUUCUUUGUAAGCCUAGUACUUAUUCUACCGGUCUCUUUUGCCGAACCGCAGACACACACACACACACACACACACACACACACACACACACACACACACACACACGACGGGCUUCUUUCAGUUUCCGUUUACCAAAUCCACUCACAUGGCUUUGGUCGGCCCGAAGCUAUAUAGGCCUUAUCGCUAACAGUUGUAAGGUAGGUUUCAAGCAACACACGCAUUAAUUUCGAAACCCCAUUAAAAGCUAUCUCAUAUCACUCUCAAUUCGAAAGAUACUAACAAACAGUGCAAUUUAAAAUGGAUAAUCCUAUCUAAUGCUAAUCUGAUAGAAGCUAAAAAAUUUUCUCUGCAAUGGUACCCAUUCCUCAACAAGUAUUCAAAAGGAAUUGUCUCCCACUAGCAUAAAAUAUUUAAAGAAAUACAAAAUUUUCCAAAA